AGCGAACGCUGGCGGCAGGCCUAACACAUGCAAGUCGAACGAACUCUUCGUAGUUGGUUGCUGACGGGUGAGUAACACGUGGGAACGUUCCCUUUUGUACGGAAUACCUCAUUUAAACUUGAGCUAAUACCGUAUGUGCCCUUCUGGUGAAAGAUUUAUCGUCCUUGGAGCGGCCCGCGUCUGAUUAGCUAGUUGCUGAGGUAUAUGCUUACCAAGGCUACGAUCAGUAGCUGGUCUGAGAGGAUGAGCAGCCACAUUGGGACUGAGACACGGCCGAAACUACUACGGGAGGCAGCAGAGGGGAAUCUUGCGAAAUGGGCGAAAGGAUGAAGCAGCCAUGCUGGGUGAAUGAUGAAGGUCUUAGGAUUGUAAAAUUCUUUAACAGGGGACGAUAAUGACGGUACCCGGAGAAGAAGCACCGGCUAACUUCGUG
rnacentral:rRNA from 1 species